CCCCAAAAAAGGUAAAUUUCUUCAUCAUCUCGCUUCGAUGUGAUCCUGAUUGCAACUUCUGGCGUUGAUAUAAUUGCUUAUUGGUCAUCGAUAUAUUACUGUGGAAUGGGGAAAUUGACAUGGUAUUAUAUUCUCAAUGAUUGACUAUGUGUUUUGGAAUGUCACGUAUGAUUUGCUUGGAUUAUAGUCAAAAUUAGAAUAGAGUUGAUUAAUAAAUGUGUGUUUAUGUGUUUAACAAAUUAGUUGCUUGUUGUUUUAGAGGAUGUGUUUAUUUGGACUCUGCUGAUAUUGAUUUCCCUGCUCUCCUGUGUAAAACCAUGGAGUCAUCUUCUAACUUCCUUGAGACUAAUUUAAAACUUUGCAAAUGUCAAAAUUUAUCCUCGAGAAAAACCCACAGAUAUUCAAAUAAUGGCCAGCUUUACUACUGUUAACCCUUAUUUUAUAUGGUUUCGUUACUCCAAAUUGUCUGUUGGGAAAGUAAAUUAAUUAGCGGGAUUGGUCGAGACUGUUUGGAUUCAGUCAAAUCGGCGUUAAUGAUUCCAUUAUGCGCAAAUUUUGAAAAGAAAGAAUAGUAGUUUGUUGUAUAGAUGCC
rnacentral:lncRNA from 1 species